rnacentral:rRNA from 1 species
CCUUCGGGUUGUAAAGCUCUUUCGGCAGGGAAGAAACGGUUUGGGCUAAUACCCUGAGCUAAUGACGGUACCUGAAGAAGAAGCACCGGCUAACUACGUGC